GACGAACGCUGGCGGCGUGCCUAAUACAUGCCAGUCGAACGCUGAAGAGAGGAGCUUGCUCUUCUUGGAUGAGUUGCGAACGGGUGAGUAACGCGUAGGUAACCUGCCUUGUAGCGGGGGAUAACUAUUGGAAACGAUAGCUAAUACCGCAUAACAAUGGAUGACACAUGUCAUUUAUUUGAAAGGGGCAAUUGCUCCACUACAAGAUGGACCUGCGUUGUAUUAGCUAGUAGGUGAGGUAAUGGCUCACCUAGGCGACGAUACAUAGCCGACCUGAGAGGGUGAUCGGCCACACUGGGACUGAGACACGGCCCAGACUCCUACGGGAGGCAGCAGUAGGGAAUCUUCGGCAAUGGGGGCAACCCUGACCGAGCAACGCCGCGUGAGUGAAGAAGGGUGUCGGAUCGUAAAGCUCUGUUGUAAGCCAAGAACGGGGGUGAGAGUGGAAAGUUCACACUGUGACGGUAGCUUACCAGAAAGGGACGGCUAACUACGUG
rnacentral:rRNA from 1 species